rnacentral:lncRNA from 1 species
UUUGCAAAAGGUCACAUUACUACUUUGAUAAAGCAAGAUUUAUGUCAACAACUCACUCUUUCACACUUGAAACUUGUCCCUAAAGAUCACAAAUAAUCUUAAGAUAUCAGAAGCAACCUUGUAAAGGCUAGGGAAAUAUGACAAACUCCUUGAAACUCAACUAUUCAUGCAAACUUCUCAUUCAUUCUCAACCAAAACCAUAACUUCACAACUUUUAUUUCUAUAAAUAGAGGGAUACCUUAAGCCUCAAAACUCACAACAAUAACCCCUCAACACUUCAUCAAAC